rnacentral:rRNA from 1 species
GAUGAACGCUGGCGGCGUGCCUAAUACAUGCAAGUCGAGCGAAUGGAUUGAGAGCUUGCUCUUAUGAAGUUAGCGGCGGACGGGUGAGUAACACGUGGGUAACCUGCCCAUAAGACUGGGAUAACACCGGGAAACCGGGGCUAAUACCGGAUAACAUUUUGAACCGCAUGGUUCGAAAUUGAAAGGCGGCUUCGGCUGUCACUUAUGGAUGGAACCGCGUCGCAUUAGCUAGUUGGUGAGGUAACGGCUCACCAAGGCAACGAUGCGUAGCCGACCUGAGAGGGUGAUCGGCCACACUGGGACUGAGACACGGCCCAGACUCCUACGGGAGGCAGCAGUAGGGAAUCUUCCGCAAUGGACGAAAGUCUGACGGAGCAACGCCGCGUGAGUGAUGAAGGCUUUCGGGUCGUAAAACUCUGUUGUUAGGGAAGAACAAGUGCUAGUUGAAUAAGCUGGCACCUUGACGGUACCUAACCAGAAAGCCACGGCUAACUACGUGCCAGCCGCCGCGGUAA